rnacentral:lncRNA from 1 species
AUAGGGGGUGGGGUUCGCGUGUCCCGUCUCUUUCCCCUAGCUAUAUUUACCAUUUCGUCAAUCACUACAAGAAAAUACACUUUUAGUGACUACUUUCGGCAACUAAAUGAAUAGUGGUCGCUGCAAAUAAGGCUAUUGGCGACCAACAUCCUUGUUAGUUACUGAAUGAUUGUCCUACACCAACUAAAUGCAUAUUUGGUCGCGGAAAAUCAAAACCAAGUUGG